CAACUGUUAUGUUACUUUAUGACUAAAUGUUUUAAAAGUAAAAUUUAUAAUCCCUAGCCCCUAUUUCUCAUCUCAGUCAGUCUCAUCUUUCUCUCCGUCGUUCUCCGAUUCCACCAUCGAUGUUGCUUUUUCUCCACCAACAUUCCACAAUGCACGUUUUUGUUGGAGAUCUGGCUUCACUCGUUGGACCGAUCUUCAUUCGACAUCGGAUUCUGCAGACUCUGUGUCAACCCGAAAGGCGGAGACUGCGCCCUCCGAUGUUGGUGACAAAGUUUCUGGUUCGAAGAUCAAGGUUAACGGUUCUCGGCUUCGAAUUCGCAGGAAAAUGGCUAUCAACGUAGCGAUUCUAAUCACGACUUUCUUAUCAGUAUACUGAAAUUUUUCUUUACACGACCAAGUCAAUGAGUAGUUGUAGGUAAACUCAAUCUUUCCCCUGUUUUCUAAAUUUUGUACAUUACAAUUCUGCUUAUCAAAGCUUUUGUUCUUGAUUUUAAGAGCAUACUUAUGAGCUAUGGAUUAUUAUAUGUGUAUUUGACUAUAUGAGCAUGUUUUAACAUGGUAUGAAGAUUGAAAGUUGAGCUGAUUCUCUAAACCUUUUGGGAUAUAUUUAUAUAAAAUUGAUCAUAUACUUGAAUGUCAUUUUUUUCUUAUGUUCUACAGCUUGGCAUGCUAAUGAUUUUUCUGCUUUUAUUCUACUAUACCUUUGAAAUUUAGUGGACAAGACUUAAGAGUCACCAGUUUAUAUUUAUGGUGGAUACUGAGAGGAGCAAGAAGGUAGUGUAUAGAUAUAUAUAUUUAUAUAUAUAUAUAGCAUGCACACUUGAGAAGUUCAGAGUGGGAAAAUCUUUCCCUGAUUUUGGUGCCCUCUUAUAUUGUUCUUUUUCUUAGUAAAUAUACUAGCACUUCAUUUUCAAAAUUUCAUACAGAUUCAAGUUUCAGAGUAAUGACUUGAAUAUGUCUUACUUUUCUAGAGUAAUGAUAAGAGGAACCUUUUUUUAGACAGGGUAUAUCACUCUAAUAUUUGCAAAAUUAAUUAUUUAAGUUUAUUAUUGUAAGUAGUUUUGUUAUUAUGCGUUUCCCAUAAAAAGGUUAAAGAUUUAUAUUAAUUGAAUUGUUGAGUGGAUGUGUUACUCUCCACAGUGCUCAUUAUUGUCAGUAGUUUGAAGUGAUUGUCAAUUGUAUUCUCUUUUAAUGUGAUAAAACUUCAAAACCACUUCCAUAGCCUGCUAGACCUUACUUUUGUGUUUUGUCACACUUGGUAGACAUUUGAUAUUUAAUAAAGGAAACUAUUUGCAAAAGAUUUGGUGAUGUUGGCUCGUUACAAGACAAUGAGGAAUCUUUUUUAUCACAUGAUGAUGAAGAUGGAAGAGAUUUAUUUGGCACAUUGAAAAAGAAUCGUGAACAUGCAACAGAGCCAUCAAAGGGUAAUUUAUAGCCUCAAGGUUUGAGAAAUAACAAUUAAUUGGAUUAAUUAAAUGCAGUAUGACAUAGUUUUAUUACCUGGUUAUCAGUAAUGUUCACAUCAUACAAACCUGUCAAAGUUGGUGAUAUUGUAAGCAUAUAUAUAAAUAUUUUCAAAGAAGAACUUGUAAUUCAGCAAUAAAAUAUGGAAACACGCUUAAAAUCUUUUCAUGCAUUUCAGGCAUAUGGUGUCUCUGUGGGAAACUUUUUUGUAGUUGAAUCAAAGGCUUGUCCUUCUCUUGAAGAAAUGAAGAAACUUCCAAACAAAGUCCUCUUAUGGUGUGCUCACGAAGUUCCAACAUGUCAAGGCACCUCCAUCAAGGUUUUCUACCAGCAGUAUGCUCUCCUCCUGUUCCAGGAUACAUGGUAAUUAAUUGUCUCUAGCAUGUUCUUGAAGAAGCAUCAACAUGGAAGAUUCAAGAUGUUUGUAGAAAGCUAAUAUACUAAAAGACUUACCAAACAAAGAACUCUCUGAGUUGUUAUUUUUACUUAGUGUUCUAAUUUUUGGAUAUUUUCUUAGUACAUUUUAAUGUGUAUGUAAAGAGAUUAGAUGAGUUUUGCUAGUGUUGUUUCUUCAAUGUGUAUGUAAAAAGAUAAAUAGAGUUGUUUUUUUUACAUCCAGUCAUGUAAGAAUACAAAAUGAUGAUGUAUGUAAAUGAAUUUUAUGUGUAUGAUAUGAUUUGUAUAUGGAUAUAUUAUGUUAAUGUUGUAUGUUGA